AGGCAGGGGAAAUCUCACAGACAGCAGCAGGACACAGCCUGCACACCAAGCUCGGGAGGAGCUGGGCAGACUCCGUUUACACAGGAGUGAAGAGGAAAUCAAAAUAUUCUCAGAUGAAGAAAAGCAGAGAAUUUGUCAACAGGAGACCUGCCCUAAAAGAAUGGCCCUAAUGGAAGUUCCUAAAAAAAGAGAAGACACUGAAAAAAAAAACAAAAAAAAACUCGAAGUAUUAUAAAAGUAUCAUAAAGAAAGAGGAGCAUAGUAAGCAAAAAUAUGGGUAAAUGCAAUAGGCUUUCCUUAAUAUGUUUUAUAAAUUAUGUUUGAUGGUGGAAACAAAAAAUUUAUAACGUUGCUUCAUAUGGCUCCUAAUUGCGCCGUAGAGAAAAUCUUGAAGACAAUUAUAAAUAGCAGAGAGUAAGGGACUUAAAGGAAAGUACAGUUGCUAUGCUUCAGUCAAACUUGUGAAAUGAUGACACCAGUAGACAGUGAUAAGUUAUGUAUGUGUAAUAUAAUACCUACAGCAAUCACUAACAGAAGUUACAAAGAGAUUUACUCCUAAG
rnacentral:lncRNA from 1 species